GUGGGAUUGUGGCUCAGUGGUAGAGUGCUCGCCUGGCAUGUGUGAGGCCCUGGGUUCGAUCCUCAGCACCACA
rnacentral:tRNA from 1 species